AAUUAAACCCCCGUACAGUGUGUGCCAGUGAUGACAAAAACUAAUCAGACCUAUUUGUUUUUUUUGUACCAGGAUGUAAACGUGUUAAUUUCUGCUGUAAACCGGCUUUUUUUGCCUGUCAUGUGUAUGUGACUUCCAGAGUUCCUGGAGCCAGCCUCUAGAUUGUGCACUUUUUUAAGACCAGAGGUUGCCGUUUGCUCAUGAGGCAAAGUCCAUCCUGGAGGACCCUCAGCACCCUCUUCAUGCAGAGUUUAGAGGUUCACUUCUGCUUUUUGGAAUGUUUGUGACUCAUAUCUCACUCACCUGUAUCGUGAUGAAAUACUUGUAUGUAUAUAUGUGUCUUUGUGCAGUUUUUAUGACGUGUAUCAUCCGUAUGGACUUCUGUUGCAAAGCAUAAUUGCCCCCUCGGGGACAAUAAAGAUUUUCCAAUCCAAUCCAAAAAUGUAUAGACAAAAAGAGUGCAACACAGCAUGUUGCAUAGUAACCAUUUAAAGUCAAUUAUAAUGUUUUUAUGAUCGUGGGAAGCAAAAUCGUUAUCAGUUAAUUGCCCAGCACAAGUUCAGAGCGCAUAUCCUGUAUGCCUCUAAACAGUCAAAUAGAGAUUCGGGAACCUCAUUGCGCAGCAACAUCCAGCCGUUCCUAUUCCUAAAGCCUCCAUCCUCCCGAACACUGCACUGGGCUUUUAAGCACUGAGGCCAGGUGUGCCUCAUUGAGCAAUCAGUAGCUUCACCUGGGGAGAGCUGGAGACAACAGAACGGGAGAAGGGACAAACAGCACAGGGAAACAUACAGCUGAAACAACUAUGGUUUGGAAGGAGGACUAUGAGAAGAACUCUGUUUGUUUCCCUCGUCUCCCUGAAAUCCUUAUAUCACUUUCUGCAUUGUGCGUUCAGUCUAAUUCUGUCCUGGUAGUCCUGGUCACACCCUGGGCCUUAUUGUUUAUGGCCAGAUUGUGCCCAGAUUAUACACUCUUUAGAUAGCUCAAAGGGAUAUUAGAUACGCCCAUAAUGGUCAAGGGACAUGCACUUUAACUAUGCUCCAUAGAUCUUAGAAAAGCAUCCUGUUAGUCUUCUUUUCUUUAUCUCUAAGGGGGUUAAUGUCCACUCUGUAAAUAUAACUUCUUUUGAUGUGGAAAAAGUGUAUGUAGCAUUCUGUUCUAUAACAGGCUAAGUGAUAUAAUAUUGAGGUCAUUAAAUGUACUCUUUCAAAAUAUA